GAGAGCCGUAUGAGAUGAAAAUCUCAUGUACGGUUCUAGAACGGAGAUUCUUUGAAUGGAAUAAAGAAUGACCGUUCACAUCUAU
rnacentral:ncRNA from 1 species